UUCUCCUAGCAGGACCUCUCCUCCUAGCAGGACCUCUCCUCCUAGCAGGACCUCUUCUCCAAGCAGGUGAGAUAGUCCACUAGAGACAGGUGAGAUAGUCCACUAGAGACAGGUGAGAUAGUCCACUAGAGACAGGUGAGAUAGUCCACUAGAGACAGGUGAGAUAGUCCACUAGAGACAGGUGAGAUAGUCCACUAGAGACAGGUGAGAUAGUCCACUAGAGACAGGUGAGAUAGUCCACUAGAGACAGGUGAGAUAGUCCACUAGAGACAGGUGAGAUAGUCCACUAGAGACAGGUGAGAUAGUCCACUAGAGACAGGUGAGAUAGUCCACUAGAGACAGGUGAGAUAGUCCACUAGAGACAGGUGAGAUAGUCCACUAGAGACAGGUGAGAUAGUCCACUAGAGACAGGUGAGAUAGUCCACUAGAGACAGGUGAGAUAGUCCACUAGAGACAGGUGAGAUAGUCCACUAGAGACAG